AGGGAGCCCUGCCUGAACCAACUUCUUAACUCAUUCGGGGUAGGUUCCUCAGCCCUGUGUAAGUCUCCUCGGGCUGACCCUGUUUGCUUUAAGUCUUUC